rnacentral:rRNA from 1 species
GUGUCAGCAGCCGCGGUAAUACGUAGGGGGCAAGCGUUGUCCGGAUUUACUGGGCGUAAAGCGCGUGUAGGCGGCGCGUCAAGUCGGGUGUGAAACCCCGGGGCUCAACCCCGGGCGGCCGCCCGAAACUGGCGCGCUUGAGGACGGAAGAGGGGAGUGGAAUUCCUGGUGUAGCGGUGAAAUGCGUAGAGAUCAGGAGGAACACCCGUGGCGAAGGCGGCUCCCUGGUCCGUCCCUGACGCUGAGACGCGAAAGCGCGGGGAGCGAACGGGAUUAGAUACCCCGGUAGUCC